rnacentral:rRNA from 1 species
CCUACGGGCGGCUGCAGUGGGGAAUUUUGGACAAUGGGGGCAACCCUGAUCCAGCCAUGCCGCGUGCGGGAAGAAGGCCUUCGGGUUGUAAACCGCUUUUGUCAGGGAAGAAAUCUUCCGAGCUAAUACCUUGGGAGGAUGACGGUACCUGAAGAAUAAGCACCGGCUAACUACGUGCCAGCAGCCGCGGUAAUACGUAGGGUGCAAGCGGGAAUCGAAAUUACUGGGCGUGGAUCGGCAGUAGACGGUUGAAAUCCCCGGGCUUAACCUGGGAACUGCACGUGUGACUGUACGGCUGGAGUACGGCAGAGGGGGAUGGAAUUCCGCGUGUAGCAGUGAAAUGCGUAGAUAUGCGGAGGAACACCGAUGGCGAAGGCAGUCCCCUGGGCCUGUACUGACGCUCAUGCACGAAAGCGUGGGGAGCAAACAGGAUUAGAUACCCCGGUAGUC